UGGGGAAUCUUGGACAAUGGGCGAAAGCCUGAUCCAGCCAUGCCGCGUGUGUGAAGAAGGCCUUCGGGUUGUAAAGCACUUUAAGCGAGGAGGAAUGGCUCUGGGUUAAUACCCUUGAGCAGUGACGUUACUCGCAGAAUAAGCACCGGCUAACUCUGUGCCAGCAGCCGCGGUAAUACAGAGGGUGCGAGCGUUAAUCGGAAUUACUGGGCGUAAAGCGCGCGUAGGCGGUUUGUUAAGUUGGAUGUGAAAUCCCCGGGCUCAACCUGGGAACUGCAUUCAAAACUGACAAGCUAGAGUAUGGUAGAGGGUGGUGGAAUUUCCUGUGUAGCGGUGAAAUGCGUAGAUAUAGGAAGGAACACCAGUGGCGAAGGCGACCACCUGGACUGAUACUGACACUGAGGUGCGAAAGCGUGGGGAGCAAACAGGAUUAGAUACCCGAGUAGUCCCUGAGCGGGCUGGCAAGGCGCAU
rnacentral:rRNA from 1 species